rnacentral:rRNA from 1 species
UACGGGGGGGGCAAGCGUUGUUCGGAUUCACUGGGCGUAAAGGGUGCGCAGGCGGCCGGAUGUGUCGGGUGUGAAAGCUCGAGGCUUAACCUCGAAACUGCGCCCGAAACUAUCCGGCUAGAGUACUGGAGAGGGAAGCGGAAUUCACGGUGUAGCAGUGAAAUGCGUAGAUAUCGUGAGGAACACCAAUGGCGAAGGCAGCUUCCUGGACAGUUACUGACGCUCAGGCACGAAAGCGUGGGGAGCAAAAGGG